UUCCCUCCCGUGAAAGGAACAGGAGCGCGCCUGGCUCCUGCGAGAGGGACUGCCCGGCCCCCUGUGCUGUCCUGUGGCAGCCUGGGGGAGAAGAAACACUCCCCAGCCCUGGAGCCCCACCCUCAGCUAGUACCAGGAGGGGAGCAGAGGCCUAGCACAGUGUGGAGCAGCAGCAUGUGAAGAGUGAAACUGGCACAAGAAAUAUUAGGCAACUUCUCGUAGUAGGAGACUGAUCCAAAUGUAAAAAGUAAAUUCUGCUGCAUCUGUAUUAGAAGAUCAUCAUCAGCCAGGAACUUUUCAUUACCCUGGAGCCGAUACCCUCCCAAGGCAGGAUCCUUGACCCUGAAGCCGGAGAAGGCACCUCUGGUGCAAAUGUUUCUAUGCUCCCCC